UGCAAAACAUAUUUUGUCAUUAUGACCUGCAUGUGUUAUUUGAAACAACUAUUUGUAUUUAUUCACUUUAGAUAUGUAAGUUUAUCAUUGAACUAUUGCAGCUAUAAUGAUUUGCAAGCGUGUCUAUCACAUAUACAGUAUGUUGCAUGACGUUAAUGCUUUCUGUAUUGAUUGACUCAGAUCCCUAUUCCUCAUAAACCAUAGGACGUCUGAAAGCCUGAUGCAGAUGCUGGAAUGUGAUUAUGUUAUGAUGGAAAGGAGCUUACUCAACAACCUGAUUAUGAUUAAGAUUUCUUUCAUGGAGGUGUCCUAGCCUAAAAGGAGCAAAUAUAAAAGAUCAGGAAGGAUACAUAUAAUGAAUUUAAACCAAAAGGUAUCUGUUUAACUUCACAUUUGUUCUUCACCUUCGGAGCAAAUUUUGAAAUCUUUUGCUUUCACAACCUGUUUUGUCUGGUGUUCUUUGUUAGUUUCAAUAAUUUCAGUUGCCAAUUUGAUAGUAGCCCUUUGCAGAGCAGAACAUUGAAGUUGUCAGUGAACAUCCUUUCUACACAUUUUCAGACUGGAGAAAAAAAAAAAAAAAAGGAAUAUCUAAUAGAACACGUGGGAGAAAUUUCUGAAGAAACUAUUCAGCAAGUUGAAACAGUGAGAACAAGUCCUCGUAAUUUUUAUGGAAACAGCCAUCUUUACUCACACAGAUACACUUCACCGCAAUAAAGGCCUGCAUGCUUGAACUCCCACAACAUGAUGAGUCAUAUGGAGCUGGUUAUUUCCUGGUGAAUAGCAAGAAGCAAGCAAAAAUUAUCAUUUGAAUAAAACAACCUGAGGAAACAAAACCAAGAGAUCUAUGAAAGACAGAGACAAUCUACCAGG